GCAACGGCGACGGUGCUCCGCCAUCGGCGAUGGCUGGAGAGGCGCGGGCCGCCGAUGCUGACGGCGACGAAUGUGCGACUCCAUGCACUAGAGAACAACAAGCAGCAAAUAUUAGGCUCCACAAAACGAUAUGCACAGUGCUUUCUUUGCAUGCCUAUCGAUUUCUGCGAGUGCAGGUUGUAACAUCGUGUAUUUCAGUGGCUGCUCAAGUUUUGUUGCCACACCUGCUUGCUGCAUGUCGAGCACUACACAACCUGAUUGUUUCAAUCUUAAAGCACCAGCUAUUCUCACUUCCAGCACUUUCUGUCAAAUGUGCAGCUGAUCGUAGGAAAAGAUCUGAAGAAAAUAAUAUUAUGAAGACAGGCAAUGAAGAUAUUCAUAUAGAGGUCCUGUAUGAACCUACAGCAAAUUCUGUUCCACGAGCAGAUAUUAUAUUUAUACACGGACUCCAUGGUGGGCCAAACAAGACAUGGAGACAAGGCAGCUGGAAACAUGAAAGGGCAUACAUUCAGCCCCAGCCAUUAAAGAAGGAAGAUCAUGAGAAUGAGAAGCAAUGGAGAAGUGAUGACUCAAAACAUGAGGACCUAGCAGAUAUGAAAAAAACAUACUCAGCCUGCUGGCCCCGUGACUGGUUGCCACUAGACUGUCCAGGAGUACGUGUGAUAGCAGUUAACUACUCCACAGAUGCAAUGCUUUGGUGCCCUGUUGGAGUUAAACAACCACCACGCACAUCAAUGAUCGAAAGAAGCUGUAAAAUGAUUGAGCUCUUAUGCAGGAUUGGUGUAGGAAAUUACCCAAUUGUAUGGGUAGGCCACUCAAAAGGUGGACUGUUUGUGAAGCAAAUAAUAGUUUAUGCACAAGAAAGUGGCAAAGAAAAUUUAGCUGGCCUGUACCGUAAUACAAGAGGAAUAAUGUUCUACAGUGUGCCUCAUCGUGGAUCUGUCCCUGCCAAGAUAAACUUGCCAUUUCUCAGGCAAUCCAUCGAACUGACAGAAGUACAUAUUGUCAUAAUGUCUUGGAGCUCCAUGAAAAAUUUCUUUCCCUUGUAAAUAGAAAUCUGUUACAAGCUGAAGUCUGCAGUUUCACAGAAACAGUUCAGACAUUUAUGAAGCUUGUUUACUUACAGAUUGUAUCAGUUGAAUCAGCCGAUGCUGGGAUUGGUGAACUGUAUGGUGCUCCUCUAGAUCACACCAGUAUAUGCAAACCUGUUGAUAG
rnacentral:misc_RNA from 1 species